UGUCGCUGGAAGUGUUAGGUAGGAAUGUAAUUCUUCAAAUUCUUCUCUUUGGAUGUCCAGAAAGUGAUUUAUCUCCAGGACUUUUCCACGAUUUCUCAUAACUUCUUGCCUACGAGUUUUCUGAGCAAUUAAUUAAAAGAAAUGAAUUCGAUUCCCUUGAAAUCAAAACCUCAAGAUCUAGAGUGAAGAUUCAAAAUGUUGGGAACUUACAAGAUCAAUGGGUGUCAAUAUAAGCAGGAGUAGCAAAGACGGUCUUUCAUCAUUUUUUUACAAGUACUAAUAGAGGAGUAAAUUUUCCCGUUUAUUUGGAAAUUCCAAGGAGCGCUUUAACGGAAUGUACAGAUCUAAAAAUUUUGCUUGGAUUGUGUCCAACGACGAUUAGAGUUGAUUAUCAUAUGGACUAAUCCGAUAUCCUGUGAAUUUGUUUUAGCAACGGCGUAGAAUAAAGAGUGUGCGAACUACUCGUUU